rnacentral:lncRNA from 1 species
CUAAGUUUAAUUUUGGACCCUUUGGACCUUAAUGUAGACCAAUUUGAAAACGGGACCAAAAUUAAGAAUCUACAUACACAGUUAGAUUCGGCAUAUCAAAGAACCCCAAUUAUUCAAUUUUUGAUGAAAUCAAACAAAGUUCAAUUUUGGACCCUUUGGGCCCCUUAUUCCUAAACUGUUGGGACCUUAACUCCCAAAAUCAAUCCCAACCUUCCUUUUGUGGUCAUAAACCUUGUGUUUAAAUUUCAUUGAUUUCUAUUUACUUAUACUAAAGCUAUUGUGCGAAAACCAAGAAUAAUGCUUAUUUGGGCCCUUUUUUGGCCCCU